ensembl:snRNA U6 U6 spliceosomal RNA
GUGCUCGCUUCCUCAGCACAUAUACUAAAAUUGGAACGAUACAGAGAUUAGCAUAGCCCCUGUGCAAGGAUGACACACAAAUUCAUGAAACGUUCCAUAUUUCU